rnacentral:rRNA from 1 species
UACGGAGGUGGCAAGCGUUGUCCGGAUUUACUGGGCGUAAAGGGCGUGCAGGCGGGUUGUUAAGUCUAGGGUGAAAGCUCCCGGCUCAACUGGGAGAGGUCCUUGGAUACUGGCAGACUUGAGGGAGGCAGAGGAAAGUGGAAUUCCCGGUGUAGUGGUGAUAUGCGUAGAUAUCGGGAGGAACACCAGUGGCGAAGGCGGCUUUCUGGGCCUUACCUGACGCUGAGACGCGAAAGCGUGGGGAGCGAACCGG